GACGAACGCUGGCGGCGUGCCUAAUACAUGCAAGUCGAACGCAGUGGGGACUGGUGAGUAACACGUGGGUAACCUCCCAUCAGAGGUGAUAACACUUGGAAACAGGUGAUAAAUCGAUAUCGAUGGAUCGACCUGCGGUGCAUUAGCUAGUUGGUGAGGUGAGGGCGCACCAAGGCCACGAUGCAUAGCCGGCAUGAGAGGGUGAGCGGCAACACUGGGACUGAGACACGGCCCAGACUCCUACGGGAGGCAGCAGUAGGGAAUCUUCGGCAAGGGACGAAAGUCUGACCGAGCAACGCCGCGUGAGUGAAGAAGGUUUUCGGAUCGUAAAACUCUGUUGUUAGAGAAGCGGUAUCUAACCAGAAAGCCACGGCUAACUACGUGCCAGCAGCCGCGGUAAUUC
rnacentral:rRNA from 1 species